UACGGGGGGGGCAAGCGUUGUUCGGAAUUACUGGGCGUAAAGGGCGCGUAGGCGGUCAGCACAAGUCAGUUGUGAAAUCUCCGAGCUUAACUCGGAAAGGUCAACUGAUACUGUGCGACUAGAGUGCGGAAGGGGCAACUGGAAUUCUUGGUGUAGCGGUGAAAUGCGUAGAUAUCAAGAGGAACACCUGCGGCGAAGGCGGGUUGCUGGGCCGACACUGACGCUGAAGCGCGAAAGCCAGGGGAGCGAACGGG
rnacentral:rRNA from 1 species